UACGGAGGGUGCAAGCGUUAUCCGGAUUCACUGGGUUUAAAGGGUGCGUAGGCGGGUUUGUAAGUCAGUGGUGAAAUCUCGGAGCUUAACUCUGAAACUGCCAUUGAUACUAUAAGUCUUGAAUAUUGCGGAGGUAAGCGGAAUAUGUCAUGUAGCGGUGAAAUGCUUAGAUAUGACAUAGAACACCCAUUGCGAAGGCAGCUUACUACACAUAUAUUGACGCUGAGGCACGAAAGCGUGGGGAU
rnacentral:rRNA from 1 species